rnacentral:rRNA from 1 species
AAAUUGAAGAGUUUGAUCAUGGCUCAGAUUGAACGCUGGCGGCAGGCCUAACACAUGCAAGUCGAGCGGCAGCGGGAAAGUAGCUUGCUACUUUUGCCGG